CUUUUGACAAAAUUGAGCACCAUUAACAUUGAUAACUCUCCUUCCUGAAAAGGUACAGCAAGUUAAGGAGACAUGGUGGGAUGUCUGGAAGCCCUCUUUCCUUACUUCUUCCCUGCUGUUCUGUGGGCCAUUCACCUGGAGCAGGAGCAGAUCUCGGUCACAAAGCAGCCACUUCAAGGCAGCUCUGCCACAUUCACAUGCAACGUGUUUGGUGGAUCAGACUCUACCUACAUCCACUGGUACCGAGCCCCAGCUGGAGAGGCCCCACACAGGCUGCUGUACCUCACUCUCUUUCGGUUGCAGUUAAAGCGAGAGGCAGCCUUCCCCAAGGAGAAAUUCUCAGCCUAUAGGACACAAAACAUCUCUAACUUGUUGGUGCACAAGCUGGAAGAGACAAAUAGCGGCCGCUAUUACUGUGCCACAAGCUUCCUGCACAAAAACCACCACAGCUCGGGGGGGUGGGGGGUCAACUCUCAUAUUACUGCUGCAGCAGAGCAGGCUGAGCCCUGCCCCCGGCCCAGGCACACCAGCCUACACAACAGGCAUAGCCUCAGUCCCACAAACCACGGCCAGUGUGAACCCCUGUUCGGCCAGCACAAGUUGCUUAGGGAUUUGCUUGAGCCUGGGAAGUGGGAGUUUGCGCCACCCACUAGGUAAAGCUGACAUCCAGUGACUGCCUACCAGUAGUGGCUCCACCUCUAAAGGCAGAACAAGUGAUUGAACAGUCACUACCAAUUUGACUUCACAAAGCAAAGGGUGACGAGAGACACUGGGGGAGUGAGAGAAUGAGGAAGAAUGGGAUGGGGACAAUGAAUAACUGGGGACAGGCUGUGGGAGUAAAGUGAACAGGGAAGGUAAGGGUGGGGGAAGACAUUUUCUAGGAGGGAACAAACAGCAGUUGGCAUCUCCACUGGGAAUUUUCAGCACAUAUCCAUGGCUGGAGCUGUAGUGUACACAGAAUACUGGAGUUUUCUACUCACUUUCGAUGGCCAUACAUAAAAUAACUAACUUGGCUCCUCUGAGUGCACGUGUGCCAUGCUCGAGGAGUUAAGACAAGAACAGCCAAAAUGUAUAGCUUACAAGCUCUUCAUUCUAAAUGUGAGACGGGAACAGGAAAUCAUGGGGGGCUUCUUUCCCAUGGAAAAGAGUCCGUACCUCAUAUUCAUCUGCACUGCACUCGGUGCAAGACUGAACUUGGUGACAAAGGUGGCUGGAUGCCAUCUCUGUGCCUCCAUAGUGCUGGGGUCAGCUAAUGGCUUGUUUUGCUCCCACUACAACUUAGUGCAUUUAGUUGUGCCCUGCUAGGAAUGGCCCUAGGGAGCCAUUGUGGGACUUAGGGAUCACAGUAAUGCAGUACCUCCCUCUAGCUAUGUCCAUUACCGCAAAGUGGAAAUGGAAUACCGUAUCCUAGGUUCUAGGAAUUCCAGCCGCUCCUGAAAUUGGAUAGGUUUUGGUUCACACUUAUGUCCUCCGAUAGCUCAUUUCACCGUCAAUCACCUUUGACUGAGAACUUUUAAUCAUCAUUACAAAUGAGCAAAUGAAACUGGUUAUUGUAGUGUUCAUGGACAUGUGGAGCUCCUGUUAAUAUCAAUGGAUUAUAUAUGGUACUCACUCACAUAUAAUUUAGAGAGUCAUACAUGUGUCUGUCACUUACAGACACCGUUCAGAAUGUCCAAUAUAGAUUAAUAUCCAUUCAAGUUCUUGGCAUGUGUGUUAAGGAAACCAUUUGGUCCACAUGUGGUACUUACAUAUUUGUUUCCAAAAAAAUCAUUAAUAUGUGGUUAAAGAUCAUAAAAUCAUAGCGGUUUGAAAUGGAAAAGGCCUAUUACAGCAUCCAGUCCAUCUUCCUGCCAAUGCAGAACUAUUCCCUACAAAGUAUUUUCUAGUGUUUUGUCGAGUCUAAUUUCAAAGGUCUCCAAAAUGGGGCUUCCAUUAUCUUCUUUGGGAGAGGAUUCCAUGGCUGAUUGAGAUCAAUGCUGGUAAG